AGUGGCGGACGGGUGAGUAACGCGUGAGAAUCUGCCUUCAGGUCGGGGACAACAGAGGGAAACUUCUGCUAAUCCCGGAUGAGCCUUAGGGUAAAAAAUUUAUUGCCUGGAGAUGAGCUCGCGUCUGAUUAGCUAGUUGGUAAGGUAAAAGCUUACCAAGGCAACGAUCAGUAGCUGGUCUGAGAGGAUGAGCAGCCACACUGGGACUGAGACACGGCCCAGACUCCUACGGGAGGCAGCAGUGGGGAAUUUUCCGCAAUGGGCGAAAGCCUGACGGAGCAAGACCGCGUGGGGGAGGAAGGCUCUAGGGUUGUAAACCCCUUUUCUUUGGGAAGAACAAAAUGACGGUACCAAAGGAAUCAGCCUCGGCUAACUCCGUGCCAGCAGCCGCGGUAAUACGGAGGAGGCAAGCGUUAUCCGGAAUGAUUGGGCGUAAAGCGUCCGCAGGUGGCAAUGUAAGUCUGCUGUCAAAACCCAGGGCUCAACUCUGGUCAGGCAGUGGAAACUACAUAGCUAGAGUUCGGUAGGGGCAAAGGGAAUUCCCGGUGUAGCGGUGAAAUGCGUAGAGAUCGGGAAGAACAUCGGUGGCGAAAGCGCUUUGCUAGACCGAAAACUGACACUCAGGGACGAAAGCUAGGGGAGCGAAUGUGAUUAGAUACCCC
rnacentral:rRNA from 1 species